GUUUACAAGAAUAUAGUCUUCGAACAUAUAAACGGAAAAGAGAACGAAUUAGCUGACCAGUUAAGUAGACUACAACUAGGAAUAAAUAAAUAAGUUUUAAUUUUACUCAUUUGUUUUCAGCAUGAGACCAACAGGACAACCUCCUGCAGACAAAGGCAAAGGUGUAGCUUCGUCCUCAGAGGCUUACCAACAGACUAUGUUAGGUAACUUAAAUUUUAGACCAUUAGAAUCUCUCGAGACAAUGGAACGAAUUUAUUUCAGCCCAUUUAAUUUAAUCGCAUACCCCGAGAGCAAUAUAUCUUUUAGAAUAAGACCAGACUACGUUUUAGACAGAC
rnacentral:lncRNA from 1 species